rnacentral:rRNA from 1 species
GAUGAACGCUAGCGAUAGGCUUAACACAUGCAAGUCGAGGGGUAGCACAGAGUAGCAAUACUUGGGUGACGACCGGCGCACGGGUGAGUAACGCGUAUGCAACCUACCUUAUACAGGGGAAUAGCCCAUGGAAACGUGGAUUAAUGUCCCAUAGUACUUAGAAACUGCCUGGUUUUUAAGUUAAAGAAUUUCGUUAUAAGAUGGGCAUGCGUCUCAUUAGUUAGUUGGCGGGGUAACGGCCCACCAAGACAAUGAUGAGUAGGGGUUCUGAGAGGAAGGUCCCCCACACUGGAACUGAGACACGGUCCAGACUCCUACGGGAGGCAGCAGUGAGGAAUAUUGGUCAAUGGGCGUAAGCCUGAACCAGCCAAAUCGCGUGAAGGAUGACUGUCCUAUGGAUUGUAAACUUCUUUUAUUUGGGAAGAAUAAGGUCUACGUGUAGAUCGAUGCCUGUACCAAAUGAAUAAGCAUCGGCUAACUCCGUGCCAGCCGCCGCCGUAACAC